rnacentral:rRNA from 1 species
AUUGAACGCUGGCGGCAGGCCUAACACAUGCAAGUCGAACGGUAACAGGAAGAAGCUUGCUUCUUUGCUGACGAGUGGCGGACGGGUGAGUAAUGUCUGGGAAACUGCCUGAUGGAGGGGGAUAACUACUGGAAACGGUAGCUAAUACCUCAUAACGUCUCAAGCCCAAAGAGGGGGACCUUCUUGCCUCUUGCCAUCGGAUGUGCCCAGAUGGGAUUAGCUAGUAGGUGGGGUAACGGCUCACCUAGGCGACGAUCCCUAGCUGGUAUGAGAGGAUGACCGGCCACCGUGGAACUGAGCCACGGUCCAGACUCCUACGGGAGGGCGCAGUGGGGAAUAUUGCACAAUGGGCGCAAGCAUGAUGCAGCGAUGCCGAGUGUAUGAAGAAGGCGUUCGGGUUGUAAAGUACUUUCAGCGGGGAGGAAGGGAGUAAAGUUAAUACCUUUGCUCAUUGACGUUACCCGCAGAAGAAGCACCGGCUAACUCCGUG